GCCAGACUCCUACGGGAGGCAGCAGUGGGGAAUAUUGCACAAUGGGGGGAAACCCUGAUGCAGCGACGCCGCGUGAGUGAAGAAGUACUUGGUUAUGUAAAGCUCUAUCAGCAGGGAAGAAAAUGACGGUACCUGAGUAAGAAGCCCCGGCUAACUACGUGCCAGCAGCCGCGGUAAUACGUAGGGGGCAAGCGUUAUCCGGGUUUACUGGGUGUAAAGGGAGCGUAGACGGUGAAGCAAGUCUGAAGUGAAAGGCGGGGGCUCAACCCCCGGACUGCUUUGGAAACUGUUUGACUGGAGUGCAGGAGAGGUAAGUGGAAUUCCUAGUGUAGCGGUGAAAUGCGUAGAUAUUAGGAGGAACACCAGUGGCGAAGGCGGCUUACUGGACUGUAACUGACGUUGAGGCUCGAAAGCGUGGGGAGCAAACAGGAUUAGAUACCCUUGUA
rnacentral:rRNA from 1 species